rnacentral:rRNA from 1 species
GACGAACGCUGGCGGCGUGCUUAACACAUGCAAGUCGAACGGAAAGGCCCUGCUUUUGUGGGGUGCUCGAGUGGCGAACGGGUGAGUAACACGGGAGUAACCUGCCCUUGACUUUGGGAUAACUUCAGGAAACUGGGGCUAAUACCUGAUAGGAGCUCCUGCUGCAUGGUGGGGGUUGGAAAGUUUCGGCGGUUGGGGAUGGACUCGCGGCUUAUCAGCUUGUUGGUGGGGUAGUGGCUUACCAAGGCUUUGACGGGUAGCCGGCCUGAGAGGGUGACCGGCCACAUUGGGACUGAGAUACGGCCCAGACUCCUACGGGAGGCAGCAGUGGGGAAUAUUGCACAAUGGGCGGAAGCCUGAUGCAGCAACGCCGCGUGCGGGAUGACGGCCUUCGGGUUGUAAACCGCUUUCGCCUGUGACGAAGCGUGAGUGACGGUAAUGGGUAAAGAAGCACCGGCUAACUACGUG